GCCCGCGACGUAAUUUGCACAAUGCAAAUUUAUCAAUAAAUAAUGCUCGUAAUUUAUUAAAAUCUGAGUCGGCAAGGGGUAGGGAUCAGUUAUAAACUCGGAUAUUAUGUACAUAGUAACGAUAAGAAUGGGUAGAAGGAAGAUCACUUUUGACUUAAAUUUCCCUCGAAAUUAUUCAGCGGAAACAUUGAACAUCAACUCAGUAAAUUGUGUAAAUAUACUUACCGUACCGUGUUUACGUAUGCCAGUGACUGUCAUACGUUUAGCGGAUUUUAUUUAAAAUAUAGAGUAUAUGUGGUUGGUAACUUUUGAUAUCAGAGGAGUUCGAUAUUGAAAAACAUCUCAUACAAAAUGUGGUUUCGAUAAACAGAACUUCACUGCACGUUUGUUUUUCGAAUUUUGCAAUUGGAAGCCUACGGGUGUUAUGGUCAGUCGUGACUUCGCUUAUUUUGUAAUCAGUUAAUAAUGUCUGGACUGCUACAAUUGUCAAUAUAUCACUGACCAGCAGGCGUGUACAAACACAGUUCAGUGUUGAAACAAUGAGGUUCCAUUCCGGCAACGAAGUACUUUACAAAAUGGGCUGUAAGAAUAUCAGGUAAUAACUUGAAUUACAAUGUAAUACUUUGUUUAUAUCUCGCUUCCCGGCUUUUAAAUGUUUGAUCAUUUUGCAACAUAUCGAUUUAAUUGUAAAAAUAGUUAUGUUCUAUUUUCGUUUUCAUGUUUACUGUCAAUGAUAGAUCAAAUGAUAUAUUUCAUUGAAUAGGAAAAAAAUCUUUAAGUGUAGCUGUCAAGAACAUUGAUUAAAAUACUAACGUGUCGCUUUGACAUAUUCCCGUCACCAUAACGAAAAUCGACAAUUGAUCAAAAGGAGUAUCUUCACGGUAGAGAUUUGUUGAGUGUGCAUGUAAAAUCAACUUAAAUAUUUUAACAUAUGUGCCACGCCAUUUUAAAAAUCCUAAAAUCCUUAAAUUAUGCGACGCACAAGUUUUAUUGCAAAAAUAAACUCCCAUCUUGACCUUGCAGAUAAGCACAUAGUUAUAAUAUUGCGACACACCGUCUCAUUAAUGUAAACGUUUGCACAAAGCAAUUAAGAAACCUUUCAAUGAU